UUUUAUACACUCUGAAUGUAACGGAAUGUCUUUUUGUGCUGUAAUAUGUACAACUAAAAACAACUUUCAACAACGGAUCUCUUGGCUCUCGCAUCGAUGAAGAACGCAGCGAAAUGCGAUAAGUAAUGUGAAUUGCAGAAUUCAGUGAAUCAUCGAAUCUUUGAACGCACCUUGCACCCUUUGGUAUUCCGAAGGGUACGCCCGUUUGAGUGUCAUUGUAAUCUCACUUCCACAGCUUUAUUGUUGUUGGAAUGUGGACUUGGAUGUUGCGGUGUUACAACCGCUCGUCUCAAAUGCUUGAGUGUACCCUGCUUUGCAGCGUAUCGGGUGUGAUAAACAUUUCACCAGAGUUGGUCGCAAGACCGCGCUUUUGCUUAGUAUCAAGGCUCUAUGCUUCGAACCGUCUCUCACGAGACAAUCUCUGACAAUUUGACCUCAAAUCGGGUGGGACUACCCGCUGAACUUAAGCAUAUCAAUAAGCGGAGGAAAAGAAACUAACAAGGAUUCCCCUAGUAACGGCGAGUGAAGAGGGAAAAGCUCAAAUUUUGAAUCUGGUGUCUUUGACUCCCGAGUUGUAAUCUAGAGAAGUGUUUUCCGUGUCGGACCGUGUACAAGUUCCCUGGAACGGGACGUCAUAGAGGGUGAGAAUCCCGUAUAUGCCACGGACUACCGAUGCUCUGUGAUACACUCUCAACGAGUCGAGUUGUUUGGGAAUGCAGCUCAAAAUGGGUGGUAAAUUCCAUCUAAAGCUAAAUAUUGGCGAGAGACCGAUAGCGAACAAGUACCGUGAGGGAAAGAUGAAAAGCACUUUGGAAAGAGAGUGAAACAGUACGUGAAAUUGUUGAAAGGGAAGCGUUUGAAGUCAGUCGCAUCUGUUGGGAUUCAGCCUGGCUUUUGCCUGGUGUAUUUCCUUUCCGAUGGGUCAGCAUCAGUUUCGACCGAGGGAAAAAGACAUUUGGAAUGUGGCUGUCUUCGGGCAGUGUUAUAGCCUUGUGUUGUAUGUCUCGGUUGGGACUGAGGAUCGCAGCGCGCCAUAAAUGGCCGGGGGUCGCUCCUCUCGACACGCGCUUAGGAUGCUGGCAUAAUGGCUUUAAGCGACCCGUCUUG
rnacentral:rRNA from 1 species